UUUUCAAUUUCUAGAUGAGGAGACUACAAAAUAGACUCGUGUGUUAAAAAUGAGAGAGAGUUUCAAGAAGAGGAGACUAUAGAACAUAAAAUAUGGAUCUUAGACACUAGUGUUCAAAGAGGAGAUAUAUAUUAUGAGAAAGAUUGAGAUCCGGCAACUUGAUGGUCUCGUCACACAUAUUUCAACGCAUAGGGCAUGUGUGCUGCUAGUAUUGUAUGGUUAUACAUAUAAUGAGGGCAACAUUAAAUCGGGGGGAUUCGAACCACAGCUGUGACGUGCAAUGUACACCUUUUAACUAGAAACUUGUACAAUGAUUAUAUAGACCAGAGCUCGGAGUAUUUGAGAGAUGAGACUUGGAGGAUGUAGAGAUGUCCUCCCUUUCGGUUUCGGUUGAGCAAGAGCUUUGGAAGGAUGGUCUUUUGGGCAUUAAGAUUUGCGUGGUUAGUUACUUUCCAGCUCCCUCUAGUGACUUCUUUGGCUUUGGAGAGGUUGGUCCCUCGAUUACAUAUCGGAGGCGAAGAUUGUUGGAGAGUGGUUUUUGUGCUUCGUUCCGAUUUGGAGAAGUGGGUUUUUGUACGCUGCAUGUUAGAUUUCCUAGAGUAUCUUAGGGGUACACCAAAUUCACCACGUUCGUACAUGCUACAACAUUGG
rnacentral:lncRNA from 1 species